rnacentral:rRNA from 1 species
GAUGAACGCUGGCGGCGUGCCUAAUACAUGCAAGUCGAGCGAACAGAUAAGGAGCUUGCUCCUUUGACGUUAGCGGCGGACGGGUGAGUAACACGUGGGUAACCUACCUAUAAGACUGGAAUAACUCCGGGAAACCGGGGCUAAUGCCGGAUAACAUUUAGAACCGCAUGGCUCUAAAGUGAAAGAUGGUUUUGCUAUCACUUAUAGAUGGACCCGCGCCGUAUUAGCUAGUUGGUAAGGUAACGGCUUACCAAGGCAACGAUACGUAGCCGACCUGAGAGGGUGAUCGGCCACACUGGAACUGAGACACGGUCCAGACUCCUACGGGAGGCAGCAGUAGGGAAUCUUCCGCAAUGGGCGAAAGCCUGACGGAGCAACGCCGCGUGAGUGAUGAAGGUCUUCGGAUCGUAAAACUCUGUUAUUAGGGAAGAACAAAUGUGUAAGUAACUGUGCACGUCUUGACGGUACCUAAUCAGAAAGCCACGGCUAACUACGUG